UUGGAGGGCAAGUCUGGUGCCAGCAGCCGCGGUAAUUCCAGCUCCAAUAGCGUAUAUUAAAGUUGUUGCAGUUAAAAAGCUCGUAGUUGAAUUUCGGGAUCAAUUUAUUGGUCGUGCUAUUGUACGUACUGGUAUUAUUGAUUCCUACCUUCUGACGAACCAUGAUGUCAUUAAUUUGGUGUCAUGGGGAAUCAGGACUGUUACUUUGAAAAAUUAGAGUGUUUAAAGCAGGCUCACGCUUGAAUACAUUAGCAUGGAAUAACGAAAUAGGACGUUUGAUUCUAUUUUGUUGGUUUCUAGGAUCGACGUAAUGAUUAAUAGGGAUAGUUGGGGGCAUUAGUAUUCAAUUGUCAGAGGUGAAAUUCUUGGAUUUAUUGAAGACUAACUACUGCGAAAGCAUUUGCCAAGGAUGUUUUCAUUAAUCAAGAACGAAAGUUAGGGGAUCGAAGACGAUCAGAUACCGUCGUAGUCUUAACCAUAAACUAUGCCGACUAGGGAUCGGAUGAUGUUAAUUUUUAACGACUCAUUCGGCGCC
rnacentral:rRNA from 1 species